GCAUCCCUUCUCCUUUGCGUGCUUUAGGCGGUCCAGGCACCUUUUACCGUGACCCCCUUGCCGACUGGCCGGCAGGCCUGGUUCGCCGCUCCCGUGAGCCCUGCGGAAGCGUUAAGGGACCGCGUGCUGAAGCCUUGACGUUUUCCACGUGACGGUGCCAUCCGGGCAGCCUUUAGCAACGGCCGAGGGGUUGCCGUGAGUUGGGGAUGUCGGGAGGAGGAGCGAGGGCCCGCUCGAGUUUCGGCAGUGACAGAUCACCUUGUCUCCUCCUAACGCAGGCGUGCCCCGCGAUGAUGGCAUCUGGCUCCGGGCGAGGCCGAAGCGUGCGGCCCUGGGAUGCGGGCGUUCUCGAGAGACCGUGAGUAGCAGACUUGUCAGGGUUUGCCCGAUGUUCUGCUAAGAUCCUGGGAUGAUGUUCUGUUCUUUUUCGUGUAGCUCAUCAAGAGACAGCAGCAUGGUGACGGCAGGAACUGGGCAGACGACGAGACGGCAUUCCUUGGCAGCCCGUGUGGACUCUCACCCCCCGGGCAUCCGAGAGCUAACUCAAAGGCUACGAUCCGCAGAGGGGGGAUGGAAGCGGGGUGCCGGGCUGGGACUCGUGGCCAGGAAGUUUUGAGUCUGCUUUGGACGUAGCGAGGUUCAAGAAGUGGCCCUUUAGGCCGCCUCAAGGGAAAGCCUCACUUUGGCUCCCAAUGCUGAGGUGCACAGGGCAGAGCGGUCCGGGGAUGUGUCGGGUCACUUGUCUGUCGUGCCUUUUGUGCACCUCGUGUCGUAUGUUUGUUGCCUUAGCCCUUCCAGGAGGUUACAGGAAACCCUGGCGUCACUCUUAACAUCUCUGAUCUCUGGGUUCCUCGGCCAGGCGCAGACACUGUCAGAGCUGUGCCUCGGGACCUCUCAGAGGCCUUGGAAUCCCAUCUCUGUUUUUAAGCGUCCGAUCGGGUGUCUUUUGAGGUCUUGUUCUGAGCUGUGGCCACAGCCGUGCGCCGCAAGGAUCCAUUGUAGCGGGCUAGGACUUGUCCGAAUGCAAGGACAGACAGAGAAUUGUGGCCGUAGGAUUCUCGGGCAUCCGUAUUUGCGCUUCUCGGGAUAAGUCAUCGUGUCAGCAUCUUCUUUCUUCAGGGUUGUCUCAGCCUUAUCAGCUCGCCAUCAUUCUCACCUGGGUCAUCUUGUUCCGCAUUCUCUGGGUCCUUGCGGCCAUUCUUCUGGCCCGGAGUUUUGUCUCCCUGUUGUGUCCCCUUGUCUGUUGUCUUGUGUGUCACGGGUGUCUGGGUGUAUUUGGGUCGGAGCUGCUCUGCCCUGCUGCAGAGGCUGGCUGUAGGUGUAAAUGGACAAAUCCUGGGUAGCUGUAAUUAGGGAUUUGUAAUUAGAGAUCUGUAAUGUAGAAUGCAGUUGGAGUCUAGAUAGUAUGCCUAGAUUGACAGAAGAUGUCAGGAGCUGUGAAGUUAUCCUGCAGCACUUUGAGUUGUGUCUUUGCUUUCUUUCAGAUGCGGAUGGAUGAAAUCCGUGGCAGAGGGCCCCAUCCAGGGUAAGGGUGUUCCCGCGAGAAGGUAAGUCACGGUUUGUCUUUGCAGGGGACCUGGAACCGGUCACUGUGUGACAGCUCUGUUCUUUGUUGUUAUUUUUAGGAUGUAAAGCCAGCUAUCCACGGUCAGGGCGAAGUCGGCAAGGUGAGCAGUGAGGGGUGGAGAGAAGCGGUUGUUAUUGCUGAGGUCUCAGUUUCAGCUGCAACUCCAAGCAUCCCUUCUCCUUUGCGUGCUUUAGGCGGUCCAGGCACCUUUUACCGAGACCCCCUCGCCGACUGGCCGGCAGGCCUGGUUCGCCGCUCCCGUGAGCCCUGCGGAAGCGUUAAGGGACCGCGUGCUGAAGCCUUGGUGUUUUCCACGUGACGGUGCCAUCCGGGCAGCUUUUAGCAACAGCCGAGGGGUUGCCGUGAGUUGGGGAUGUCGGAAGGAGGAGCGAGGGCCCGCUCGAGUUUCGGCAGUGACAGAUCAACUUGUCUCCUCCUAACGCAGGCGUGCCCCGCGAUGAUGGCAUCUGGCUCCGGGCGUGGCCGAAGCGUGCGGCCCUGGGAUGCGGGCGUUCUCGAGAGACCCUCAUCAAGAGACAGCAGCAUGGUGACGGCAGGAACUGGGCAGACGACGAGACGGCAUUCCUUGGCAGCCCGUGUGGACUCUCACCCCCCGGGCGUCCGAGAGCUAACUCAAAGGCUACGAUCCGCAGAGGGGGGAUGGAAGCGGGGUGCCGGGCUGGGACUCGUGGCCAGGAAGUUUUGAGUCAGCUUUGGAUGAAGCGAGGUUCAAGAAGUGGCCCUUUAGGCCACCUCAAGGGAAAGCCUCACUUUGGCUCCCAAUGCCGAGGUGCACAGGGCAGAGCGGUCCGGGGAUGUGUCGGGUCACUUGUCUGUCGUGCCUUUUGUGCACCUCGUGUCGUAUGUGUCUUGCCUUAGCCCUUCCAGGACGUUACAGGAAACCCUGGCGUCACUCUUAACAUCUCUGAUCUCUUGGCUCCUCGGCCUGGCGCUGACACUGUCAGAGCUGUGCCUCGGGACCUCUCAGAGGCCUUGGAAUCCCAUCUCUGUUUUUAAGCGUCCGAUCGGGUGUCUUUAGAGGUCUUGUUCUGAGCUGUGUCCACAGCCGUGCGCCGCAAGGAUCCAUUGUAGCGGGCUAGGACUUGUCCGAAUGCAAGGACAGGUAGAGAAUUGUGGCCGUAGGAUUCUCGGCCAUCCGUAUUUGCGCUUCUCGGGAUAAGUCAUCGUGUCAGCAUCUUCUUUCUUCAGGGCUGCCUCGGCCUUAUCAGCUCGCCAUCAUUCUCACCUGGGUCAUCUUGUGCCGCAUUCUCUCGGUCCUUGCGGCCAUUCUUCUGGCCCGGAGUUUUGUCUCCCUGUUGUGUCCCCUGGUCUGUUGUCUUGUGUGUCACGGGUGUCUGGGUGUAUUUGGGUCGGAGCUGCUCUGCCCUGCUGCAGAGGCUGGCCUAUGGUCAGCUGCCAUGGGAGAGGCUUCAUAUUAAACCAACUGCUGAAUGAUUUAAUUAGUCUGGUACCUACGGCUUCUGAUCAUUUGCUUUGUACAAAUGCAUUUCAACAGUUUGCUGUGCUGUAAGCAUCUCAUAGCUGCUACUCUUGAGAACCUUGUUUUAGAAAUUAGUUAAAAGGCAUCUUUCCAGUUUAAAGCCUAGGCUCUGUCCAAGCCUUGACUUUACCUGGAUAGAGAAUUUACCAAUAAACCCAGAAGUUUUCUGCAUCGAAACAAUAUUCAGGUCAAUCUGACUUGGCAAUUAGUGAAUUAAUAUAGCAGCUGGAUUUUACAGUGGGCUUGGAAAAUUGUUAUCCGGACAUGAUUUUCCAAUCUUCCAUUGUUUUAUCAGCUGUGGCAAACUCUGGGAUGGGUGUGUAUAUUUAGAAUAUUCAGUAAUUCAUAUUACAGAUAAUUUAGAUAAGUUUAGUAUUGCAUAAUAUCAAUUAUGCAUCUUUUUAAUAAGUUUUUGAUUUCUGUAAAAAUUUUAUUUCCUAUAUGUAUACAUAUGCAUGUGUUUUACUUUGAUGGUUUUUCAUUGUCAGAACAAGACAGUGGAUAUUUUACCUUUGUUUACAAGAGAGGGGGAGGAAACAGAGGUUGCACUUCAGAAGCAUGGAAACAUGAUGUACGUAUUUUAGAUUUUGGAAAAAAUGCAAAGAUUGUAUAUCUAUUACAAAUAAUUCUUGAAGAGUCCUUUUUAAACAAGUCUGUUACAAAGCAAAUUAUCAAGUACUGUUCUAACAGUAGUCAAGCAAAGUUGAGAGAGAAUUCUUUGAUUCUGGUCAAAUGUUCAGAAGCAAGAUGAAAAAUUCAUUUCAGUUGAUAAUUUGGAGUAAAGUCUAUGUUUGUGUAUUCACAGGUUCAAAACAGAAGUAACUUCCUAGCGAAGAACAUGGAAACUCGUGAGCUGCAAAGACAAACAGACAGGCCAAAGAGCAGAAGAGCGAGCACGCAGAUGUGAACCGUAUUGAGACCACAGUUGACAGCUGAACAACUUUGAUCCCACAUGCCAGAGCAAUGAACUUUGUGUUUCAUGUGAAAGAGUGGGAAAAUUGAUAUUGUAAAACCUCACUUGUUAAAUAAAGCAUGGUGUGAACUGUGUCAAGA